rnacentral:rRNA from 1 species
UACGGAGGGAGCUAGCGUUAUUCGGAAUUACUGGGCGUAAAGCGCACGUAGGCGGCUUUGUAAGUUAGAGGUGAAAGCCUGGAGCUCAACUCCGGAAUUGCCUUUAAGACUGCAUCGCUUGAAUCCAGGAGAGGUGAGUGGAAUUCCGAGUGUAGAGGUGAAAUUCGUAGAUAUUCGGAAGAACACCAGUGGCGAAGGCGGCUCACUGGACUGGUAUUGACGCUGAGGUGCGAAAGCGUGGGGAGCAAACAGG